GAUGAACGCUGGCGGCGUGCCUAAUACAUGCAAGUCGAGCGAACAGACGAGGAGCUUGCUCCUCUGACGUUAGCGGCGGACGGGUGAGUAACACGUGGAUAACCUACCUAUAAGACUGGGAUAAAUUCGGGAAACCGGAGCUAAUACCGGAUAAUACAUUGAACCGCAUGGUUCAAUAGUGAAAGACGGUUUUGCUGUCACUUAUAGAUGGAUCCGCGCCGCAUUAGCUAGUUGGUAAGGUAACGGCUUACCAAGGCAACGAUGCGUAGCCGACCUGAGAGGGUGAUCGGACACACUGGAACUGAGACACGGUCCAGACUCCUACGGGAGGCAGCAGUAGGGAAUCUUCCGCAAUGGGCGAAAGCCUGACGGAGCAACGCCGCGUGAGUGAUGAAGGUCUUCGGAUCGUAAAACUCUGUUAUUAGGGAAGAACAAAUGUGUAAGUAACUAUGCACGUCUUGUCGGUACCUAAUCAGAAAGCCACGGCUAACUACGUG
rnacentral:rRNA from 1 species